GUCCCAGCCCCGGUCCCAGCCCCGGCCGUCCCGGCGUCGCUUCGGAGCGCGGCGGCAGCUGACUGCGCCUUCACGAUCCGCUGGGACCCGCGAGCCCCGCCGCCGUUAUGAACAUCCGCAAUGCGAGGCCAGAGGACCUAAUGAACAUGCAGCACUGCAACCUCCUCUGCCUGCCCGAGAACUACCAGAUGAAAUACUACUUCUAUCAUGGCCUUUCCUGGCCCCAGCUCUCUUACAUUGCUGAGGACGAGAAUGGGAAGAUUGUGGGGUAUGUCCUGGCCAAAAUGGAAGAGGACCCAGACGAUGUGCCCCAUGGACAUAUCACCUCAUUGGCUGUGAAGCGUUCCCACCGGCGCCUCGGUCUGGCUCAGAAACUGAUGGACCAGGCCUCUCGAGCCAUGAUAGAGAACUUCAAUGCCAAAUACGUCUCCCUGCAUGUCAGGAAGAGUAACCGGGCCGCCCUGCACCUCUAUUCCAACACCCUCAACUUUCAAGAUGCGCUGGCAGCUGAGCGAGCAGCUGCGCUGCCUGGAGCUGCAGGGCGAGCUGCGGCGGGAGUUGCUGCAGGAACUGGCAGAGUUCAUGCGGCGCCGCGCUGAGGUGGAGCUGGAAUACUCCCGGGGCCUGGAAAAGCUGGCCGAGCGCUUCUCCAGCCGUGGAGGCCGCCUGGGGAGCAGCCGGGAGCACCAAAGCUUCCGGUAGGUGAUGUGCUGGCAGGGGGGCCACGGCAGGGCCCAAGCUCCGCUCCCAGGUCUCAGUGCCCCUCUACCCCCAGGAAGGAGCCGUCCCUCCUGUCGCCGUUGCACUGCUGGGCAGUGCUGCUGCAGCACACGCGGCAGCAGAGCCGGGAGAGCGCGGCCCUGAGCGAGGUGCUGGCCGGGCCCCUGGCCCAGCGCCUGAGUCACAUUGCAGAGGACGUGGGACGCCUGGUCAAGAAGAGCAGGGAUCUGGAGCAGCAGCUGCAGGAUGAGCUCCUGGAGGUGGUCUCAGAGCUCCAGACGGCCAAGAAGACGUACCAGGCAUAUCACAUGGAGAGCGUGAAUGCCGAGGCCAAGCUCCGGGAGGCCGAGCGACAGGAGGAGAAGCGGGCAGGCCGGAGUGUCCCCAACACCACCGCUGGUGCCACUGAGGCAGGGCCCCUCCGCAAGAGCUCCCUCAAGAAGGGAGGGCGGCUGGUGGAGAAGCGGCAGGCCAAGUUCAUGGAGCACAAACUCAAGUGCACAAAGGCGCGCAACGAGUACCUGCUUAGCCUGGCCAGUGUCAACGCCGCUGUCAGUAACUACUACCUGCAUGACGUCUUGGACCUCAUGGACUGCUGUGACACAGGGUUCCACCUGGCCCUGGGGCAGGUGCUCCGGAGCUACAUGGCCGCUGAAAGCCGCACCCAAGCCUCCCAAGUCCAGGGCCUGAGCAGCCUGGAAGAAGCUGUGGAGGCCCUGGAUCCUCCAGGGGACAAGGCCAAGGUUCUCGAGGUGCAUGCUACCGUCUUCUGUCCCCCGCUGCGCUUUGACUACCACCCCCAUGACGGGGAUGAGGUGGCUGAGAUCUGCGUUGAAAUGGAGCUGCGGGACGAGAUUCUGCCCAGAGCCCAGAAUAUCCAGAGCCGCCUGGACCGACAGACCAUUGAGACGGAGGAGGUGAACAAGACUCUGAAGGCGACACUGCAGGCCCUGCUGGAGGUGGUGGCCUCGGAUGACGGGGAUGUGCUUGACUCCUUCCAGACCAGCCCCUCCACCGAGUCCCUCAAGUCCACCAGCUCAGACCCAGGCAGCCGGCAGGCGGGCCGGAGGCGCGGCCAGCAGCAGGAGACGGAAACCUUCUACCUCACGGUGGGGAGGGCUGGGCUGGUGGGCGAGACCCGUGGGGGCGUUGCUGGGGCAGAGGGAGGGGCUCAAGCCAGGGCUAACACUUGGGGCUCUUCUUGGGGCUGCCCAGAAGCUCCAGGAGUAUCUGAGUGGACGGAGCAUCCUCGCCAAGCUGCAGGCCAAGCACGAGAAGCUGCAGGAGGCCCUUCAGCGAGGUGGGCCC
rnacentral:sRNA from 1 species